rnacentral:rRNA from 1 species
GACGAACGCUGGCGGCGUGCUUAACACAUGCAAGUCGAACGGAAAGGCCCUGCUUUUGUGGGGUGCUCGAGUGGCGAACGGGUGAGUAACACGGGAGUAACCUGCCCUUGACUUUGGGAUAACUUCAGGAAACUGGGGCUAAUACCGGAUAGGAGCUCCUGCUGCAUGGUGGGGGUUGGAAAGUUUCGGCGGUUGGGGAUGGACUCGCGGCUUAUCAGCUUGUUGGUGGGGUAGUGGCUUACCAAGGCUUUGACGGGUCGCCGGCCUGAGAGGGUGACCGGCCUCAUUGGGACUGAGAUACGGCCCAGCCUCCUACGGGAGGCAGCAGUGGGGAGUAUUGCACAAUGGGCGGAAGCCUGAUGCAGAAACGCCGCGUGCGGGAUGACGGCCUUCGGGUUGUAAACCGCUUUCGCCUGUGACGAAGCGUGAGUGACGGUAAUGGGUAAAGAAGCACCGGCUAACUACGUG